rnacentral:rRNA from 1 species
AUGUUUUUGGAGCCCCUACCCUCUUUUUCUAGCUUGAUUUUGUUGUGUUCUUCCCCAAUUUCAAAAAUUCCCACCAAAAAUAGCCCCAAUUUUUUUGUGAUUUGUUGGUUUGAUGAUGUUUUGUUGAUUUUGAUCCAUGGAUUUGCUUGGUUUCAAGUGAAUCUAGCAUCUCCCCAAGUUUCCCCAUCUUUCAUCCACGAAAUCUCAUCAAUUUUGACCCUGAAAUCCCCAAAUUCCGCCCAAAAUCGCGUCCCGAAUUUCGCAUCUCGCGUUGACACCGACCCACCGGACGACCGACGUUUUUUCGGACGUCCGGACCCCCUCGGAACCAUCGGACGACCGACCAUCAUCGGACGUCCGACAUCCCUGAUCAAGUACCAAAACGGCGGAUUUCCGGCUAUUUCCGGACGUCCGUCCCGCGCUCCAGCCACCGGACGUCUGACCUAUAGAUUCAGACUUUGGCUGAUUUUUGUUUUGCCCAUAACUAAUUCAUCCGAACUUUGA